CCUGUUAGCUACUGCGGACGACAUUA
rnacentral:rRNA from 1 species